rnacentral:rRNA from 1 species
ACGACGGUAGAGAUAUCGUUCCUUCGGGGCAGGAAGACAGUGGUGCAUGGUUGUCGUCAGCUCGUGUCGUGAGAUGUUGGGUUAAGUCCCGCAACGAGCGCAACCCUAUUGUUAGUUGCCAUCAUUCAGUUGGGCACUCUAGCGAGACUGCCGGUAAUAAACCGGAGGAAGUGGGAUGACGUCAAAUCAUCAUGCCCCUUAUGACCUGGGCUACACACGUGCUACAAUGGUUGGUACAACGAGUUGCGAGUCGGUGACGGCGAGCUAAUCUCUUAAAGCCAAUCUCAGUUCGGAUUGUAGGCUGCAACUCGCCUACAUGAAGUCGGAAUCGCUAGUAAUCGCGGAUCAGCACGCCGCGGUGAAUACGUUCCCGGGCCUU